rnacentral:rRNA from 1 species
AUGGAAAAGCAGCGAGCACCAAACCCUAAUUGCCUUCCUUCCUCACCCCCGGCUGCCAUGUCAUCUCCUGGUUCCCGGCGUGGUAUCUUGACCGCAAUUCCGGUUUCCGGCGAUGGGACCUUCGGCUACUCCGUCCCGCCCCCGGCACAUUGCUCCAGUGCAGCAGCCACACUGCUUCCGUUUUGGGGGACAGAGCACAAGCCUGCUCCAUUGGUACUGCCGCAAGGGCAAACCAUUCGUGAAUCCAUUGCUCGCUCCUUGAAGAAAGAGCAGGAGAGUAAGUUUUCGAAUUUGUCUGUGCUUCCCAGUUGCCUCCCAGGGGCGCAAAAAUUUUCGUCUCUUGGGCUGCCUCUUCUGUACCAGCAACCAGAUCACUGGGGAAUUAGAUUUUACACCAGAAUUGAUCUCAAGGGAUCUUUCCACACAUACCCUCAUGUGGGGGGGCCAUUUGAGAGCUUAACUGAAGUUAACAAUGCUAUUGAGCUCUACCUUAGGGGCCGCCAGGAGGAGCAAAUGUUUGUGGGAUUAUCUGGAGUGGAGCUUGCUGUACAAAAGUGCCUUUACUGGCCUGAUGGCAGAAGGAAAAAACAUUUGGCAUCCCAACCAAUUGAUACAACCCGUGAUUUUAACCGCCAGCUGGUUGAAGCUCUGGUGGACAAGUAUAAUGAGGAUCACAACCUUUUCGGGGAUCUUGCAUAUGAAUUCAAAGAUAUUAUGUGCUGCCAAUCAAUUAGAGAUAGUAGGUUUUACGAUCAUAUCAAUUUCACUGCGAAGGUUAAAGGAGCUGAUGAUUUGAACUGCUGCACUGACAAACUAUUCUUCGCUGAAGUCAUGUAUAAUCAAUCAUCCAGUGAAUUGUUUGUCAUCUGUUUAUGUGUGCUGGAUCCUACUGCUAAUGAUUACUGUUAUGGUUGUCACUGUAAUGGAAGUCCUGACAUGAAGCACCCAAGUUCUGGUUACAUGGCUGGCCACAAAAGUAACGUGUCUGGUAGAUCUAAGAUAAACUGCGGAAAGUUUGAUGAUGAGGACAAUGAGGACGAGCUGGAAGCUCAGAAGGCUAGGUUACGAUGGAUGUUUGGGGGCUCAUCUGAGCUGAAGCAAAUCAGGGACCCACAUGAGGCAGAGCGAUGA